rnacentral:rRNA from 1 species
GACGAACGCUGGCGGGCGUGCUUAACACAUGCAAGUCGAACGAAAGAGCGAUGGAAGCUUGCUUCUAUCAUCUUAGUGGCGAACGGGUGAGUAACGCGUAAUCAACCUGCCCUUCAGAGGGGGCAACAGUUGGAAACGACUUGCUAAUACCGCAUACGAUCUAAUCUCGGCAUCGAGGAUAGAUGAAAGGUGGCCUCUACAUGUAAGCUAUCACUGAAGGAGGGGAUUGCGUCUGAUUAGCUAGUUGGAGGGGUAACGGCCCACCAAGGCGAUGAUCAGUAGCCGGUCUGAGAGGAUGAACGGCCACAUUGGGACUGAGACACGGCCCAGGCUCCUACGGGAGGCAGCAGUGGGGAAUCUUCCGCAAUGGACGAAAGUCUGACGGAGCAACGCCGCGUGAGUGAUGACGGCCUUCGGGUUGUAAAGCUCUGUUAAUCGGGACGAAAGGCCUUCUUGCGAACAGUUAGAAGGAU